GCAUAUCAAUAAGCGGAGGAAAAGAAAAUAACAAUGAUUCCCCUAGUAACUGCGAGUGAAGAGGGACAAGCUCAAAUUUUAAAUCUGUUAGGUUUUACCUGACCGAGUUGUAAUUUGAAGAGGCGUUUUCCGCGUAUUUGGUCAACCCAAGUCCUAUUGAAUGAGGCAUCAUGGAGGGUGAUAAUCCCGUCCGGUUGAUCAUUGCGCUUUACGAUACGCUUUCUAAGAGUCAAGUUGUUUGGGAUUGCAGCUUAAAAUGGGAGGUAAAUUUCUCCUAAGGCUAAAUAACGGUGAGAGACCGAUAGCGAACAAGUACCGUGAGGGAAAGAUGAAAAGUACUUUGAAAAGAGAGUUAAACAGUACGUGAAAUUGUUGAAAGGGAAACGAUUGAAGCCAGUCGUACCUAUGGGUAAUCAACCUUUUGGGUGUGAUUUUGUGGAGCGUGAGGAGUUAAACGCCUUCAUGCCUGCAUAUUCGUGCACUUUGGGUGUACUUGCCCGUGUGUAAGUUAACAUCAAUUUUGGUGGUCAUAAAAUGGCUGGAGGAAUGUAGCUUCGAUCUUGUAUUGAAGUGUUAUAGCCUUCGGUAGAUGUGACGAUCGGGAUUGAGGAUUGCAACGGAUACCCUUCGGGGCUACCUGUCUGAUCUCUGAUUGUUGCUCUGGUACCGAAAGCUUGCUUACGGUUAUCAAAGUCGAUGGUCAAUAGGUUAGAACGGGUUAAAUUCGUUAAGGAUGUUGACGUA
rnacentral:rRNA from 1 species